AUGCUUAACACAUGCAAGUCUACCCGAUCCAGCGGGUGAAGGUGGCGGACGGGUGAGUAACGCGUGAAGAAGUUGCCUUAGAGACUGGGACAACAUUUGGAAACGAAUGCUAAUACCGGAUAUUAUGAUUGGGUCGCAUGAUCUGGUUAUGAAAGCUAUAUGAGCUGUGAGAGAGCUUUGCGUCCCAUUAGUUAGUUGGUGAGGUAACGGCUCACCUUGACUAUGAUGGUUAGCCGGCCUGAGAGGGUGAACGGCCACGAGGGGACUGAGACACGGCCCUUACUCCUACGGGAGGCAGCAGUGGGGAAUAUUGGACAAUGGACCAAAAGUCUGAUCCAACAAUUCUGUGUGCACGAUGAAGUUUUUCGGAAUGUAAAGUGCUUUCAGUUGGGAAGAAGUCAGUGACGGUACCAACAGAACAAGCGACGGCUAAUUACGUGCCAGCAGCCGCGGUAAUACGUAUGUCGCAAGCGUUAUCCGGAUUUAUUGGGCGUAAAGCGCGUCUAGGCGGCUUAGUAAGUCUGAUGUGAAAAUGCGGGGCUCAACCCCGUAUUGUGUUGGAAACUGCUAAACUACCAGUACUGGAUAGGUAGGCGGAACUACUAGUGUAGAGGUGAAAUUCGUAGAUAUUUGUAGGAAUGCCGAUGGGGAAGCCAGACUACUGGACAGAUACUGACGCUAUAGCGCGAAUGCGUGGGUAGCAAACAGGAUUAGAUACCCUGGUAGUCCACGCCGUAGACGAUGAUCACUAUGUGUUGGGUGUUCAACCUCAGCGUCCAAGCUAACGUGAUAAGUAAUCCGCCUGGGGAGUACGUACGCAAGUAUGAAACUCAAAGGAAUUGACGGGGACCCGCACAAGCGGUGGAGCAUGUGGUUUAAUUUGACGCAACUUGAGGAACAUUACCAGCGUUUGACAUCCCAAGAAGUUAACAG
rnacentral:rRNA from 1 species